UGGCUCUGGAGUAUUUCCUUCUUCCUUUUAUUCCAGUACACCACGUGUCUUGAAAACCUCACUUGUUUUGUGGACUAUGUGCAGACCCUGUCCUGCCUCCUGAGGAAUGACCUGGGUGCCAGUUCGUACAAUAUCACUGCUACAUGGGUUGAUGAGGAUGAUCCAGAAAACACUGUGGCAGCCUGCAGUCUCCUGGAAUUGUCCAGGAGCACCAACCACAC
rnacentral:lncRNA from 1 species